GUUGAGUUGAGUUGAGUUAAGUUGUACACCAUCCAUUUUAUCAAAUUUUAGUAACAUAAGAUUAAUAAUACUGCAGCAGCAAUCACAAAGAGAGGACAGCUAAUAGUCAUGAGGAGAACUCGAGUAAAAUUGAUUAAGUUAGUUGCUGAAACACCUCUAAGAAAUGAUGUUGCUUUCAAAUCUCUCAACUCAAAAAGAGAAAAGUAAUGGAAGAUUAUGAUGAUUUAUCAUUCAGAAAAGAAACCACCUUAUAAGCAUAUCUUAGUUUCA
rnacentral:misc_RNA from 1 species